AAAUUCAGGCAGUUUCGAAGAAACGAUCCCUCAAAACUGGCUCCGCGAAGGAAGCGCUAAAGGCAACAAAACGCGGACGUAGAUAGAGUAGUACCUCAGCGUGUUUGCUUAUGGUCUGGCCGUUUUUUGUUAUUAUCUUUUUUGUGGUCUGAUCAGUUCUAGUAUUGAAAACUGGUAAGCAUCCAUGCAGCAGGAAGUGCUUAUAUAGUGAAAAGGAUGUUGACAGGUAACAUUGUUUCUGCUGGCACUUGCUAUUUAAUGCUGCUUCAUUUUGAAGUUAUUUUCAAUCAAUUAGUUUGAAAUGAAUGAAACUGAUGAUUUUUGGGUAAUGUUAAAGAUUCUGUGUUUUGUACUACUGGCAGAUUAUUUGAUGGAUUUAUUUGAUGAUUGAGCAAAUUGCGGUGGGUAUCUGUGAUUUACACUGAUCAGCCAGUGGUAAACACCAUAGCUGAAGAGCAAGAUGAUAAUGUGAUGUCAGAUAUUAAUCAGGAGCCUCCUUCAGGUACAACCAAAAAGGUGCGAGGGAAGACAAGAGGAGUGAAUGCAGAUAAGGUGUUCUCCCAAUUGAAUUCUAAAAUACCUGUGACUUUGACUGAAGAAAAUGGCAGGCCUACGGGCCCUUAUGCUGAGAUGUUUGCAAAUAAAAUUGGUUACACAAUUCAAAACUACGUCCCACUGAAUGUAGAAAAAUGGAAGAAGAUUGAAAAAGCAGAUGUGGAGAACUUGAUCAAAAGAACCCAAAAUAAGUUUGAAUUUGACAUGUCGCUCCCUUGGGUCCUGAGAUAUGUAAUCAUAACAUGAAGCUGUCAAGACUCAGGAAGAAUGUGAGUUUCUUUGCACUCAUUUUUCUAGUGAAAAGUUUAAGAUUCGCUCAGAGAAGAAUGUUCUUAAUAGGUCAAAGUUGACAUAUCACCACAAAGCUGAGUCAAAAUCAUUUAUGUCACACCAAAAGCAAAUUGUAAGAUAC